CGGUGAAUAGCGCAGCUUGGUAGCGCAUCUGGUUUGGGACCAGAGGGGCGGGGGUUCGAAUCCCUCUUCACCGACCA
rnacentral:tRNA from 1 species